rnacentral:rRNA from 1 species
AGGGCGUAUGGAGGAUGCCUUGACACGAAAGAGCGAAGAAGGUCGUGGCGUGACUGCGAUAAGCUUCGGGGAGCCGUCUAGCGGGCUUUGAUCCGGAGAUGACCGAAUGGGGGAACCCCAUCGAGCAAACCUCGAUGACCCGGCGCAAGCUGGGAGCGUACCUGGCGAAGUGAAACAUCUCAGUAGCCAGAGGAAAAGAAAUCAACAAGAUUCCCUUAGUAGCGGCGAGCGAAAAGGGAUAAGCCUAAACUUUUUUAACGCAAGUUAAAAAGGGGUAAUAAGGAUAGAACACUUGAAUUUUUAUCGUUGCGCUUUCGAAGGCAGCGGUAAAAAUUUGAAAGAAGUUACAAAUUCCAAAGUUAGCAGAACGGCCUUGGAACAGCCGGCCAAAGAAGGUGAUAGCCCUGUAAGCGAAAACUUCUGGAACUUCUGUUUUAUUGCGGCGCAAGCCGCCUUGCUUGAGUAGCCCGGGAUAAGAAUGUCCUGGGUGAAUUUGCCCAUACUACUGGGUAAGGCUAAAUAUCUUUCGUGAUCGAUAGUGAACCAGUACCGUGAGGGAAAGGUGAAAAGCACCCCGGUGAGGGGAGUGAAAUAGCAACUGAAACCAUAUGCCUACAAAGAGCGGAAGUCCUUCGGCGGCAGCAAUGCCGUCUGGGAUGACCGUGUGCCUAUUGAAGAAUGACCCAACGAGUUUAUCCAAAUUGCUCUAUAAGUGCCUCUGGCACGUAUGGAAAGGGAAACCGAGUGUUAAAAGCGCGUAUUAGAACUAAAUAAAAUUUUCUUUAAAAAGAAAGUUUUAAUAGUUCUAGAAGCAGUUUGGGUAAGACCCGAAGCCAGGCGAGCUAACCAUGCCCAGGAUGAAGGUUGUCGAAAGACAACUGGAGGUCCGAACUGGUUGGUAGCGCAAUACCAUCGGAUGAGGUGUGGUUCGUAGUGAAAAGCUUAUCGAGCCUGGUAAUAGCUGGUUCUCCCCGAAAUGCCUUUAGGGGCAGCGGCGGAUUGUAGUUGAGGGGGUAGAGCACUGAUUGGUUUGCCGUGCCCGCAAGGGUAGGCUUACCAAAUAAACUCCGAAUACCUCAGCGUAAUUUCCGCCAGUGAGUAAGCGAGGGCAAAGCUUCGUUUACGCGAGGGAAACAGCCCAGAUCAUCAAUUAAGGUCCCAAAAUCUAUGCUAAGUGAAAAGGAAGUAUUCUGCCUUAGACAGGUAGGAUGUUGGCUUAGAAGCAGCCAUCAUUUAAAAAGUGCGUAAUAGCUUACUACUCGAUUUCGCCGCAAGGCGACGAGGCAGGAUGCGCCGAAAAUUUAUAGGGGCUAAGCAUAGUACCGAAAUUAUGGGUUUGAUGAGGAUUAAAAUCAGGCGAGACCUGAUAAUCCGAUCUUUUUCGAAAUCAUCAAGCGGUAGGGGAGCAUUCUGAUUGCUGUGAAGGUGAACUGUGAAGUUUGCUGGAGCGUUCAGAAGGGAGAAUGUUGGGAUGAGUAACCGCAAGUGGCGUGAAAACCGCCACCGCCGAAAGCCUAAGGUUUCCUCCGCGAUGUCAAUCAUCGGAGGGUUAGGCGUCCCUAAGCGUAACCUAGCUUGCGGGCUAGGGAUCGCGAUGGUGAGCCGGUUAAUAUUCCGGCCCCGCUUACAUAUUCGAAGGAGUGACGGGCUAAAUUAGAUCGAGCGCAUUAUUGGAUUUGACGUCUUUGCUCAUAGAGUGGGAACCAGGCAAAUCCGGUUCCAGCCGAAAGGCGCACUCGAGAGUGAAAGAAAUGGCCGUUAGGCCAGAUUCGAUUGACGAGGGCUCCAAGAAAAGCUUCUAAGAUUAAUAUGUAAGCGCACGUACCGAAAACCGAAACAGGUGGGCUGGUGUAAGUGCACCAAGGCGAACGGGUGAUUAUUGGCUAAGGAACUCGGCAAAAAAGCGGCCGUAAGUUCGCGAUAAGGCCUUGUGCUAAGCCGUAAGGCGCUGUAUACGGGGUGACGCUUGUCCGGUGCCGGAACGUUAACGGUGAAGGUGGCGGGUAGCAAUACCCUCUGCCAACGCCCGAAGCGCCGGUGAACGACGGCAGUAACUAUAACUGUCUAAAAGUAGCAAAAUACCUUGUGGGGUAAGUUCCCACGCGCAUGAAUAGCGGAACGACUGGAGGACUGUCUCAGCCAAUAGCCCGGUGAAAAUGCAAUGUCGGUAAAGAUGCCGACUACCCGCACCUAGACGGAAAGACCCCGGAAGCUUUACUGUAGCUUGGUAUUGGUCUACGAGUUGUCAUACGUAGCGUAGUGAGUAGGAUUUGAAGUCCACCUCUCGGGGU